UACGUAGGGUGCAAGCGUUGUCCGGAAUUAUUGGGCGUAAAGAGCUCGUAGGCGGUUUGUCGCGUCUGCUGUGAAAACUCGGGCUUAACCCGGCCUGCAGUGGGUACGGGCAGACUAGAGUGCGGUAGGGGAGACUGGAAUUCCUGGUGUAGCGGUGAAAUGCGCAGAUAUCAGGAGGAACACCGGUGGCGAAGGCGGGUCUCUGGGCAGUAACUGACGCUGAGGAGCGAAAGCGUGGGUAGCAAACAGG
rnacentral:rRNA from 1 species